AAUAAACUUGACAAUUGAUCGGCUUGGUUGAUGAAAACAAAAGCUAAAUUAUGGACUGUUUAAACGAUCAACUGUGGUUAUUUAAGGAAAAAUAAAAUCCAGUUUCAAUCGGACGAGGAAAAACUAUUCAAUUGAGGAACUGGAAAUUGGAAUAAUCGGAUCCGAUUUUUGUUUUCCACUCUAGGUGCAUCCGAAUCAGCUUCCGUCAAGAUGAAAUUAAUCUCACCAAAUUAAGUAAAAAACAGCACAUCGAUCCUUGAAAACAGAAGAAUAUCGAGUUUCAAUUUUGAUGUAAACUAUCCAAGAUUGGGACGUCUGCACUCUGAAACCAGUGAUCAACAGAUGAUAAACUUCCUUCAUAAAUAAAUCAAUAAGACGAGACUAAAGGUGGUUAUAAGCAAAUUAUGGACAGUUAAGAAUAGGAAUCAAUUAUGGAUGAAACAAAUUUCAUGGGAAACAUUGGGGAAGGUGAAUAGGGAAACUCGAUUGUAUCUUAAUCUAUUCUAGAAAAAUGUAAAUAUAAAUGUUAAACAUACCUUCUCAUUUUGAUUAGACUAUCAAAUCUGUGGAGUAGUGCUAAUGUUAGACACUCAUUUCAAGUGCAACCACAAAGGUAAUCAAAUAAUAUGUUACUAUUGUACUCAAUUUUAUCCUGAUCAUCCAUUGUUACCUCUGUUUCUUAAAGGUGUAUUAUCAUUGAGAUCAGUUAAAUCCUUGGUAACGUUAGAUUGGCUUAUGAGAUCAAUUUACUACAUUAAAUAUUGCUAACGAAAGUAUUAAAUUGUUUAUAAUAUUUAAACCUCUGGUAAAGCUUUAGAUUGCCAUCGAGAAAGAACACAUUUUAGCUGCACAAAAAACGAUCUACAAUGAAAUGGAAAAAAGGAUUCACAUUAAACUUCAAUUAACAGUAUAAACAUAUUUUCACUAAUUAAAUAAACCCUAUUGAUGUACCUUUUUUUUAGGGUUAAAUGGUCAGGCAUUGAGGAAAUCAAAGCACAAAGCGAAACGAAUCUUCAUUCAGUUUAUUUUAGAAUGUCAACUUUAACUUUUUGGCUUGAAUCUGUAUUUUACACCAGUUAAUCCGGAUAAAACAUGAUCCUUUGCUUUUCUCGCUUGCUCAAAAGUCAUCCAGUAAUAUCCAUUCUGAUUUUGUGUUUACCAUUGAUUAAUUUAUCAGUUUGUAAAUCAACUUCACACCACACCGAGGAUGACAAUCUAUUGACAGCUACAGCGAUUCCUUCAACAUCGACAACCAUUUCAACUGAUCAAGUACAAACAGAUUUCCGAGGUAAUCUGAUCAAUCCAACGACUGAAUAUUAUCAUGACCAUCAACCAACUGUCCGACAAAGCAGCCUGGAAGCAAAUGAUGGGGUGAAUAAAAGUUUAAUUAGUAAUAGCACAAUAAGCCCGAUUGGAAGUAAAAUUGAAGGUAUUUACAGUGAUGACUAUGAGGACAAUGAUGAAUCCAUGUGGCUCGACUUAGGUGCCUAUUCUGGUGAUCAUGGUUCGUAUGGUUGGUAUGUUGACCAUCCUGUUGGUGACUAGAGUGAUUAAUUGUAAUAGUAAAUUAAACAAAACCAUUUAGUGAUGAUAAUUAAGUGAUUACCAAAUAUUGUAUUGGAACGUAAUUCAAAUAAAAUUGACCUGAUUUAACUAAAUUA